AACUGAGCCUGGAUAAGGAAGUUCGCGAUAGGUCUUGACGGGCGGCACAAGCUCAGUCGUAUCAAGUUUAAGAUUCUCUUUGUGUGAAGGCUUGACCAGUUACCGGAGGAGGAGGUAAGUACAUUCACCGUUACCGCCUCGGCAAGAAGCAAUAAAAAUGUGCUCAUUCUUUACGGUAAGGUGAUACGGCGCUCAAUGCUGAUCAACGAAUGGUAAAUGUCAGAUAAGAUGUGGCAAUUGAUAUGUUAAAAAAUAUAGAUGGACGAAGAUUAUAUUACUCUUGAACUUCAAGAAAGAACCAGUGCUUGAGUCUGUAAAUGUUUUAAAUUUUAUUUCAAUUUAUUUUGAAGUAAGCUUUCCAAACAAUUCAUACUUACAUAUUAUACAAUUCUAUUGUAUCAUGUUUUUAAUAAUUAAGCUAAGAAAGCUCAUAUUUAAUGGGUAAUUAGGGGUAAUCCUACUGUGUUGGCAACCUUGCUGCCAGCGCGCACCUUUCAUCAACCUUGCGCCACUUCUACAGAGACAGAUACGACCAGACACAGGUGACGAACUGACAGUUCUGAUGACAGGUAUGAAUGUUGAACAGUAAGACGAAGAACAGAUCGACAACUAAAAAAAAGACGAUAAACAUAUUUACAAAGUGCACGCUGUUAGACAGCUCAAAUUACAUAUAGAUUAGAUGAAACUAUCAAUAUUACUUAAAAUUAGAUUAACUUCUUAGUAAGGUACUUGCUGUAAAGCUGUAUCGCUAGUUCUAUUCUUAACCUUAAAUUCAUGCCCUAAAAUUGUAAAAUCACGAAUUCGACCAACGACAACACUGAACACAGACGAAGCUACGUAAGGGACUAAACGCAAGUCUUAAACUAUAUACUAUAUACAUAUGUACAGGCAACGAUUUACAUGAAAUUUGUACAAUUCUAAAUCUGUGCGCAACGCCCAAACUAAAAACAUGUACUUGAAACCUUUUUCAAUAGGAGAAUUAUAAUCGUCCGCUGAAUUACGCCCAGUUCUCGUGUUUAACUUGCGGAGAUUAGAAUCGCGGAAAUUAUCCCUCUCGUUCCGUUGGCUUAACGCCAACAUACUGCAUUGAGUCGAUCUCAUUGAGCAUUCUAAUUUGUACCAUAUAAUUGAACUUUACAACGUUCCUAUAGCAGGGCAGAUGUGUCAUAAUUUUCGCGUUUCCAUGCUUGGCAACACUUGAGUUAUAGUCUCAGCAGCAACCUUCAAUGAAGAUGUGCGUGCGUGAAAUCUGAAUCGUGAUUUUGGCCAUUAAUUUACGCCUAAUUAGCAACCGUUUUCGAACUUCCUCUAUUUAGAUCGCUUAUUUUACACCUUCGCCCUGGCUUGCUGAUUUGUCUAGCCUUAUGGAGUUUAUUAGCACCAUUCAUCAAACAUGCAAUCUUUGUUUGAUAAAAUCACAAUCCAACAAUUUACCAAGUAGCAUAACAAUUCUUCAACUCGAUUUGAAUUAUGACUUACUAAUAUCAGUUUAUGUGUCUUCAAAUAUGUUUUAUCCUAAAAAAUCGAAACAUUCUUGAAUCAGUCUACCCCGAAUAUCAACGUUGAGAAUUUCAGAUACCCAUUAGAUACGAUUACAUCAAUUAGAAGCACGCAUAAGUUAUUCUAUAGAGAUGUGUAAGUCCAGAAGCUACACGUUGUUGCUAUGGCUUUAUCGAUAUGCAUAAUUUCAUCGCAACAUAUAGGAAAACGCAUCCAACUCCGUUCCGAAACCGGGGUCAACGUCUGAUCGUAAACUUGUGGGGUGAUGCUACUAUCAUGACACUGAAUGGGUGUUUGUUUAUGGAUGAAGACUCCCCAUGCCGUCCAAACCAGUUUACACCGCAGAUUUUGUAGGUCAUUCUUAGAAUUCCACGCUCUGUUUCAUAUACGUUCUCUAACGUUGUCACGAUACGUCAGGUAUCCAUCCAGUAUAGUAAUUUGUUUGUCAUUGUAGAACCCACGUCACGGGGUGAGUUAUCUGGUGACGUUGAAUAAAUUUGCGUUGAAUUGCGUGAGAUAUUGCAAAAAGAUUAUACGUUUAGAAGCGUACGCGAAUGAGGUUAGGUUAAAAACUGGUUUUACUUCAGGAUAGAUUGUGAUAAAUAAUUGGGAUUUUUAUCAACGUGCAUCAGUUAAUAGUAUACAUUGAAUGGAAAUUGACAUUAUCAUAAUAUUCAUUGCCAAUUGUAGUCCCAAAGAGAGUUACGUGACGAUUUCAGUGGAAAUUUUUCAUUUCAUAUUCUACUUAGAAACGAGGAUGAGGUUAAGUGUGUAGUGAGCACUGCGCUCCACAUGAAUUCAACCGGUUUGCUCACGGAGCGUAGGUCAGUUUCUGGUCGUCUUUCGAUUGAAUUUAUAAAAGGACUGGCUAUGCGACGCCCGUUGAUGGAUAUAGCACACACAAAGUGAUAGUGAUUUAACGAUAUUGUAUUCUGGAGGAUUAGGGGAUCCAGAUGAGUGGCUUCAGAAUGAAGGUGAUUUUUGUUCACAUUGUUCCCAAUCAUUGGCACGUAACCAACUCGAUCUUCAUUAUGAUAAAACAUAAGACUGUACACGUUGGCUUUUCCUGGCAGCAGCGUUGCGAAAAUAUCAAAUUCUCAUAGGAUCUCAUGCUUGAGACUUUUCAGGCUUGA